CCUCAAUCUGCUGUGACUUGACAUGGCCAGGCUCCUCUCCAGUGAGUGCAGGACAGGCUCGGUGAAUCAAGUUGCUAGGAACCUGAGGAGCUUCAGCCUUGUAGUGUGAAUUAAAUGGUCAUUUCCACCUGUCACUGAUUUUCUUUUCUUGGUGAGCAACAGCUCUAUUCAUCGGGAGAGACCUUGACGGACACAGUGUUUCCCAUCCACAAUGAGAAAUCAAAAGAAUAGGGGUGGAAUCAAAUGGAGAGUAGCUGUAUCAGGCUUAGCAUCACAAAGUCUGGAAAAGCCAAGAAAAUCUGCAGCCUCAGCCCAAAGAUCCAGAUUUGGCAUAGAGCCUCUUCCAAAGGAAAAGAUAAAUCUUCCAAAGCAAAGAAAUCCCUGCCCUCCUUCCUCCCACUCCAUCCAUCUUCCCUUUCAUGGCAGACAUUUGAAAGCAAUGCUCCUGGUCGCCAGAGAGAUCCCAUAUUUCCUGAGUUAUCUCCAAGAAAUGCCAGAGAUGCUGAAGACUGUGUUCCCCUCUCCAUAUCACAAGAAUCGUGUCACUCUCAAUCACAGACAUGCACUGAUGCCAAUCUUUGUCUUAUAGUAGACCAGAAGCCUGCUCUCUUUUUAUUUCCAAAGGAUCUUAAUUCAUUUCUACACCUGGCAUAAAUGUCACCUCGUGGAUUCAGUAAAA